rnacentral:rRNA from 1 species
GUGCCAGCCGCCGCGGUAAUACCGGCGGCCCGAGUGAUGACCGAUCUUAUUGGGCCUAAAGCGUCCGUAGCCGGCCUCGCAAGUCCGUCGGGAAAUCCAGUAGCUCAACUACUGGGCGUCCGGCGGAAACUACAAGGCUUGGGACCGGAAGGCCCGAGGGGUACGUCCGGGGUAGGAGUGAAAUCCUGUAAUCCUGGACGGACCGCCGGUGGCGAAAGCGCCUCGGGAGGACGGACCCGACGGUGAGGGACGAAAGCCAGGGUCUCGAACCGGAUUAGAUACCCGGGUAGUCC